AUGUAUUUGCAUCUCACAAAGUGAGAACAAACCCAAUUACCAAUGCUAAGUAUCCAAUCCUGAAACAAAACAACAAAGUUAGCUUAUGUACAUCCAAUCAACACAACAAAGCAUAAAUAACCAAUGGCAUGAGAUGAAAUCAAAUCACAAGUCCCAAACAGAACCAUAUGAACCCCUAAACACCAAUCACCAUGGCCAAAGAUCCAUCAUACUCCAAAUAUCAUUCAAAUGCUUCAAAAAGC
rnacentral:lncRNA from 1 species